GAGGCUGGUGCUUUAUCAUGGUGUUCUGCCUAUAUAUAUGGAAUUCUGAAAUGACGCUGAAGAAACCUUCUCUAGAGCACUCAAGCUCUUACUGGUUAGUGAGGUUUAACUUCAAUUUGCCAGCGCUGGAAAUCGAAGCUUUUCAUCUAAUGCCCCACUGAUUGAGAACUCUGAUGCUCAGAUUGUCAUUCCAGAUAGUUAUACACAGUAUAUCCCUUUGCCAAUCAGUGACCUUGAUUCUUGGUUGAAGACACCCUCCAUAUAUGUUUUUGAUUGCUCUGCGGCUGGGGGAAUAUUGUGAAUGCUUUUAUUGAGCUUCAUGAUUGGAUUGCUUCUAGCUCCUUUGGAUCCACAAGGGAUUGCAUUCUACUUGGAGCUUGUGAAGCACAUGAGACUCUUCCCCAAAGUGUUGAAUUUCCUGCAGAUGUGUUUACAUCUUGUCUCACAACACCUAUUAAGAUGGCUUUGAGAUGGUGAGCUUCUUUUCUUGUUCGUCUGUUAGGAUCACCUAUCGUGUUUAUGCAUCUUUAUUUGAGAUCAUGCAGUUUUCUGGUUUUACCUUGUGGUGU